UCGAGCACAAGUAUCCAAUAGAUACGUACAAACGGCAGAACAAACCCAACAAACAGAGAAGGAAGCAACAACGACAGAAAAUAAAUAUAAAAUAAAGCAAAAUAAACCGCAGAACGAAGCGCGAAACGGCAGCGAACAAAAUAAGCGACGGCAGCAGUUUGUCACUCAAUCGCCCAGACAUCAGUCGCGUUUUCGGAUCGACAGAAACGGAGGAAACAGAAAAAAAAAACUACCGAAAUUCUCUCUCCGGGUAUCUAACAGAUACUCUUAAAUCGGAGACGUGCCACCGCCAUCGCCGGCUGUAAUCGGAGAAUUCUGUAAACCGAUUUGCGAGACAUUUGCCGCGCACGCGCUUCUCGAGAGUUAAAGUUCAAGACGUGCGCCGAUCCGUGCCAGGUAUCUCUCAGAUACGGAGAUACUCGCACUCCGCGACUGCACCAAAAGCAUACGUGUACGUGUCGCCUUUUGGAGCAAAACGGGUCAUGUCUGGCCCAUUAGCGCCGGGGCCGGGGAUGUGCAACAAAUUGAAAGUAAAUAAAAACCCGAAAGAAGACAGGAAAAAAGUAAUGAUACCUAAUAAUAAAAAAAAUAUUGGCGUUAUUACAAAAUGGCAAACUGCAAAUGCAAAUGGGAGUACGAUUGCACCUCCCCGUAGAAUAUGGCAAAUUAAUUAGUUAUACGAAAAUGGCAGGACCAUAAAAACGCCGUGCAAAUCGCUUGCAAAAAAAGAAGAGUGAAAAUAUCAAAUGGCUUUUGUGUGUGGAUUGCAAAUAAAAUUCAAAUUAUCCACAAGUGAAUAAUUGUGGCAUUUUAAUGGCCCUUGCCCCGCGCAUCACGCACCCCGCCCUC